UACGUAGGCAGCAAGCGUUGUUCGGAAUUACUGGGCGUAAAGGGUGCGUAGGAGGUUGGCUAAGUUUGGUGUGAAAUCUCCCGGCUUAACUGGGAGGGUGCGCCGAAAACUGGCUGGCUAGAGUGUGGGAGAGGGAAGUGGAAUUCCUGGUGUAGCGGUGAAAUGCGUAGAUAUCAGGAGGAACACCUGAGGUGUACACGUUUUCCUGGACCAUUCAUGACGCUGACGCACGAAAGCGUGGGGAGCAAACAGG
rnacentral:rRNA from 1 species